rnacentral:misc_RNA from 1 species
AGAACUCUAAAAGACAUCAUAAACAGUCCUUAUGCGCCUGAGUAUGACAUUGCUGGCAUUACGGACCCUUUUCUCCAUAUCAGAUUGCUUAAACUUUUGCGCAUGCUAGGCCAAGGAGAUGCUGAUGCUAGUGACACUAUGAAUGAUGUACUUGCACAGGUGGCAACAAAAGCUGAGUCAAACAAAAACGCUGGGAAUGCUAUUUUAUAUGAAUGUGUGGAAACUAUCAUGAGUAUUGAAGAUAAUGGUGGUUUACGAGUGCUUGCUAUUAACAUCUUGGGAAGAUUCUUGUCAAACCGUGACAACAAUAUCAGAUAUGUUGCAUUGAACAUGCUGAUGAAGGCCAUUACUGUAGAUGCUCAAGCAGUGCAAAGGCAUCGGGCAACAAUCUUGGAAUGUGUUAAGGAUUCAGAUGCUUCAAUCCGUAAAAGAGCCCUUGAACUUGUUUACCUUCUAGUGAAUGAAAGCAAUGUAAAGCCUUUGACAAAAGAGCUAAUUGAAUAUUUGGAAGUAAGUGAUCAAGAAUUUAAGGGAGAGCUUACUACCAAAGUUUGCUCCAUUGUUGAAAAGUUCUCCCCUGAGAAAAUUUGGUAUAUUGAUCAGAUGCUCAAGGUUCUUAUUGAGGCUGGAAAUUUUGUAAAAGAUGAAGUGUGGCAU